GUGCAAAUGCAGGAAUGUACACACAAGACGAGAAGACCCUGUGCAACUUCAAAAUCAACGGCCAUAAUAUCAACCAAAACCCAAACCUAUGAGGCUCACUACCCCCAUCCACUGGCCCACAUUUUUCGGUUGGGGCGACCUUGGAGAAAAACAAACCCUCCAAAGACAAGACCACACCCCUUAACUCAGAGCAACCCCUCAACGUGCUAAUAGCAGCUAGACCCAAUGCAAUUGAUCAAUGGACCAAGCUACCCCAGGGAUAACAGCGCAAUCCCCUCUUAGAGCACCCAUCAACAAGGGGGUUUACAACCUCGAUGUUGGAUCAGGACAUCCUAGUGGUGCAGCUGCUACUAAGGGUUCGUUUGUUCAACGAUUAAUAGUCCUACGUGAUCUGAGUUCAGACCGGAGUAAUCCCGGUCGGCUACUACCUGUGACAGACUCCUCCUAGUACGAAAGGACCGGAGGAGUAUGGCCCAUGCUUCAAGCAUGCCGUACCAUUAAGUAAUGAAAUCAACUAAAUUACAAAACAGGCUACUCACCACCCAAUGCCCUAGAAAAGGGCUGCUAGCGUAGCAGAGCCUGGUAAAUGCAAAAGGCUUAAGCCCUUUAACCAGAGGUUCAUAUCCUCUCCCUA
rnacentral:ncRNA from 1 species